GACGAACGCUGGCGGCGUGCCUAAUACAUGCAAGUCGAACGCAUUUUCUUUGAACGUAGCUUGCUACACCGAAAGAAAGUGAGGGGCGAACGGGUGAGUAACACGUGGGUAACCUGCCCAGCAGCGGGGGAGAACACUUGGAAACAGGCGCUAAUACCGCGUAAUUGCAUGUACCGCAUGGUAGAUGGAUGAAAGGCGCUUUUGCGUCACUGAUGGAUGGACCCGCGGUGCAUUAGCUUGUGGGGGGGGUAACGGACUACCAAGGCUGCGAUGCAGAGCCGGCCUGAGAGGGUUGUCGGCCCCACUGGGACUGGGGCACGGCCCCGGCCCCUUCGGGAGGGAGCCGGAGGGGAUCUUCGGCAAUGGACGCAAGGCUGACCGCGCCACGCCGGGUGAGGGCAGGAGGUUUUCGGGUUGUAAAACUCUGUUGUUAGGGAAGAACGAGGAUGAGAUUGGAACGUUCAUCUCUUGACGUUAUCUAAACAGUAAGCCCCGGCUAACUACGUG
rnacentral:rRNA from 1 species